UUAGCAAUUGAUGUAAUUUUUACAAUAAAUUUUACAACAAUGCACUGUAUUCAUGUUUUUGUUGUAAAUGCAAAUGCAUGAUGGGAAAUUAACGGACAGUCCUGUAAAAUUAUUGUAACUACACUGUAGAAGCAUUUUUUUACAGCAACCGCAUAGCAUUGUGGGAUCGCUGCUGUUUGAAUUUUGAAAUUACGCGGCCAACGGACGGUACUUUUUGGAAGAAAGAACAUGUCUCAGGUAUGUAACAUAACAUUUGUUUUAUAAGUCUUUAUAUAUUAAUACUGGUGAUCUGAGUGAGUGCUGAUUGUUUCAUUUGGUAUAAUUCAGUGGAAUAGGGUGAAGUUAGUUAAAAUCGCGUCUUCAUACUCUAUCCAAAUUUACAUCGCAAGAACUUUACCCAGAAACUAUGGACUUUGGGCUGGAACUCGGUGUGCUUCCACCGCAGCUACCAUGAUCUAAAUAAAGUUCUGGGUAAAAAAAAAUGCCCCUCAGAAAGUCCCUGCUCGCGAGGUACUUGUUCAAAGGUAACGUUACUGAACUUUCGGGAGUGGCAAUGCAGCAUUGUAAUUUCAACCACCAUUUCUUUUGAUAAUUUUUAAAAUAUUACUGUCAUCGUGUCAUGAAAGGUAUAGUGUUUUAACUAUUUCAGGCGAGAAUGUAAGUUAGUUGUCUAAAACUCAAAUAUGCGGUUUAUUUAUAAAGACUGCGUCUAUUAAAAAAAUGUGUUUCGCUGAUGUCGGAGACGGUCAACUCCACGCGAUCAGCGGGAGCUCAGUGAUCAUUAAUCCGUCGGGAGCACUCUCAACUCGGCUAGACCUUCUGACAUUUGCCGCUGGCUGUGAUGUCUCUUUAGUGGUAAAGCAUAAAAUAUAAUUCGUUUUGGGUGAACCGAACAGGUAAUCUUUGGUCUUUAUUCAGUUAAUCUUUUAAUAUGUUAAAAUGAAAAAAAGGAAACAAUAGGCUACUGUUUGGUAUAAUAUUUUGUUUUAUAUAAUGAAGGCCUAACGUUACACAUUUCCCUGAACUUUAUUUCUGCGGCUAUUAAUAUGUUUAACGAAUGAAAAUGAGAACGAAAGGAGGCAGUGGUGUUUGAUAUCAUAUUUCGUCUUAUUGAAAUGAGGGGAGGGGGGGUCGGUGGAAACGCGGCAUAACUGUACCACGGUCAUGAACGGUCAAGGCAGAAGGAAAAGACUGAGCGGGAACAGCUACAGACACUCUGCAGGAUCAGCUGCACACUGGCUGCUAGAUGGAACAUACGUUUGCUUGCUUUAAGCCCUGUUAAUAAUUGUCAUAUGGUUAUAUGUCAAAGAAGAAAGGAAAGGCUGUAAUUCAAAAAUACUUAAAAUGCCUAGUCUAAAUUAGGAAAAACCAUACCAUAACUUUGUCUCCCACCUGAUAAAAUUGGUACUUUUGCCCAUCCUGCCAAUACUGCCACGCAUGCGUGUGUAGUGAAGCGUUCUAGUGCUCUUUUAGUUAUCAUAUUGUGUAUGCAUUUCAGGAGAGGCACUAAGUGCAGACAAAUGGAUGAUGUCUUUGGAAGGGACAACUGUGAUGGGGCCCCACAACAACCUUCUGAAUGGAGUGCAGCGACCUUCGCUGUCUACGUGUCUAACUAACAGUAUCCUACAGGCCUCAAGCACUAAAGAGCUUUUUGUGGAAUCAACUCCAAGAUGUCAGCAAAGCAGAGAAGAGACAUGGGCUCAACGCACCUGUCUGCACCCUAUUAAGAAGACUCCUGGGCUUUGAGUUGAUGGGCUAUUAUUGAUGCCCACCCACACCCCACAGCUUCCCCAGUUCAAGACUGGUUGGGACCUUUUGUUAUUUAUUACCAUGUUCCCCCUGAUGAUAGACUGUCUGGACGUCUGGAAGUGAGCUAGAUUCUUCAGUGAAACUGUAAUUUUGUUUGUAUGAAAAAAAGAUAAAAUAAGUUUGUAAUAUGUGAUGUUGCAUAGUGUGUUAAUAAUAAAAAAUAAUAAAAAGUU